UACGUAGGGUGCAAGCGUUGUCCGGAAUUAUUGGGCGUAAAGAGCUCGUAGGCGGUCUGUCGCGUCUGCUGUGAAAACUCGGGGCUUAACCCCGGGCCUGCAGUGGGUACGGGCAGACUAGAGUGCGGUAGGGGAGACUGGAAUUCCUGGUGUAGCGGUGAAAUGCGUAGAGCUCGGGAAGAACAUCGGUGGCGAAAGCGCUCUGCUGGACUGCAACUGACACUCAGGGACGAAAGCUAGGGGAGCGAAUGGG
rnacentral:rRNA from 1 species